CUCCCUUCCCGCCAUCUCCGCUGCUGCCCGGGGCAGAGUGGGUCUGUCGGGGUAGGAAGAAGCGGGAGAGCCUGGCGUCCGGGUGAAAGACUAUGAGAUAGACGCUGCCACAAGAGCGUGAGCAAACCUGGAAGGUGUAAGUCUUGUUAAGACGGGUGCUCAGAGAAGGCCUGAUGCCAGACGGAAUACUCCAUUCGUCCCCAAGUCCUGGGGCCGGAUCUCCCAACUUCAUACUCGUGGAGCUUGACAAUCAACAAACAAGACGGCAAGAACAAGGGAAGACAUUGUCCUGUCCAAAGCGGACAAUUUGUGACAGGGCUCGGGAAGGGUGCCUGGGCUUUGUAGCUUUUCCAGUAGUUCCUAAUAAACCGGGCUUUGUGUGAACCUCCUCA